rnacentral:rRNA from 1 species
UACGUAGGGGGCAAGCGUUGUCCGGAUUUAUUGGGCGUAAAGAGCGUGUAGGCGGCCUGGAAGGUCAGCUGUGAAAACUCGAGGCUCAACCUCGAGACGUCGGUUGAAACCACCUGGCUAGAGUCCGGAAGAGGAGAGUGGAAUUCCCGGUGUAGCGGUGAAAUGCGCAGAUAUCGGGAAGAACACCCGUGGCGAAGGCGGCUCUCUGGGACGGUACUGACGCUGAGGCGCGAAAGCGUGGGGAGCGAACAGG